rnacentral:misc_RNA from 1 species
UGUAACAAGGUUUCCGUAGGUGAACCUGCGGAAGGAUCAUUACCGAGUGCGGGCUGCCUCCGGGCGCCCAACCUCCCACCCGUGACUACCUAACACUGUUGCUUCGGCGGGGAGCCCUCUCGGGGGCGAGCCGCCGGGGACUACUGAACUUCAUGCCUGAGAGUGAUGCAGUCUGAGUCUGAAUAUAAAAUCAGUCAAAACUUUCAACAAUGGAUCUCUUGGUUCCGGCAUCGAUGAAGAACGCAGCGAACUGCGAUAAGUAAUGUGAAUUGCAGAAUUCAGUGAAUCAUCGAGUCUUUGAACGCACAUUGCGCCCCCUGGCAUUCCGGGGGGCAUGCCUGUCCGAGCGUCAUUGCUGCCCAUCAAGCCCGGCUUGUGUGUUGGGUCGUCGUCCCCCCCGGGGGACGGGCCCGAAAGGCAGCGGCGGCACCGUGUCCGGUCCUCGAGCGCAUGGGGCUUUGUCACCCGCUCGAUUAGGGCCGGCCGGGCGCCAGCCGACGUCUCCAACCAUUUUUUUCAGGUUGACCUCGGAUC